GCAUGAGCUCUCAAACAAUGAAACUGUCUUCAUGGACAUUUCACUGAAAGUCAUCCUUUGAUGAUAGUGGUGUGACUGUUGUAUAACUGUAAUUUUUAACUCCUGGUGAUGGUGCUGUGUAAAAAGCUGUUUCUUCUCCUUUAUUAGAACUGAUAGAAGAUCCAAGAUGUGAAAAAGAGUCCAAAGUCUUGCUCAACUGUUUAUGGCUAACAAGGAAUCCAGAAACUUUGUCAUGGCAUUCCUGUUAUGCACACACCUCUGAUAAGUCUGCACUAAGAAUAAAGGGCCAAAUUCUGUGCUGGAAUAAACCCAAUUUCUUUGGCAUCUGGUGAUCUUCUACUACCUGUUUCAGCAGAGACCUUGGUUACUAAAAGCUGAAGUAGAGAGACAUGUCAUUACACUUCUAAAUUGUAUAGUCAAUGUUUGGACACUUGUUUUAUCUUUGUGCCAAUGCACAGAAAGAAGUGUAAUAUGAUGCAUGCAUGACUUCUUCAUAAAGCUUUAGCUUUUGAAGCCUGUGAGUAGAGAAUUAGGUGUCCCAUUCAGGUAGAUUAUUCUAUAAUAAUAAUAGUCAUUCCUAUUGCAUCGUUUUCACAAGUGUGUAAGGCUCUUAACUGUGAAAGAGUGGACAUGCUGGACCGCUGUUCUGGACCAGUAUUGCACUCCCUGUGUUUUUGUAUUAUUAGAGCUACUUCUGUUGAAGUUUACGGCUAGCUAAAAAUUUGAGAUAUGCUAGGUUAUUCUAAUUGAGGAGAAAUUGUUGGUGAGAGUCACAUGCUACUUUUAUGUAACUCUGUGUAUUUACCAGAAAAGGACAAAGAUCUGUUCUUCUGACCACAGAACAAGUCAAACAACUAGAAGAAUAGAAGAAUUUUAUCCCAUUGCCUGUGAGACCUCUUUCAGCCAGAGCCCAUUCCUUGUGCUCACCCUUGGCCUCUUGUAGAUACCUGAUGUAUUACUUCAGCAGCAAAUUCAACAAGGCCAAGAUGUCUUCAUUUUCCUUCAGAGCAAAAGCUGUAAGAGCAGUGUGAUGGAAGUAUUGGUCUUCUGUGGCCAGCCGGCGAGAACCCAUCAACAGCGGUGAUGAGCAGGGCAGACAUAGGGAGACAGGAGGCAGCUGAAGCCAAAGAGGACCCAUGCCUGGAACUGUGUGUGUGUGAUUGGAGCAGAGAGAGGCCAGGACCCAAGGAAAUCCCAGCAGCAAGGGAAAAAAACAGAUUGACUUGCAGUGACUCAUUUAGCUCCUGGAUUGGACAGAUCUCUCCCCUGCUGGCAAUUUGGCUGAGCAUCAAUGGACAGAUACCAGGAUGAAUAGCUUAAAAUAAUUAGGGGUUGCGAAUCUGCAAAACUGCUAGCCAUCCAAUUCUUUACUGUGCAAUGCGAGGCACAAAAAAGAGAUUACAUUUAGGUUAUUAAAUAUUAAGUCAGUGGAUUUACCUCCAUUUGGUCCAGAACAGGAAACUGGCUAAAAUUCAACAUUGAUAUCAUUGUGUUGAUGGCCUGUUUAUCACUGAACAAGUGAGUGCCUUUUGGCAGGUCAAGCUCUUUGACACAUGGAGCGAAUGUGUGCAUAAUUUCUCCCAAACAGAAGAAUUAAUAUAAUAAUAAUUAACACAGAUGAGAACAGAAUUAAAAUCAAGUACAGUCAAGAGUUCAGUUUAAUGCCAGGCAUCUCACAUUCUACGUGUUCUGGGGCCAGAUUUUUUCCUGUCAAAGGCAAUAAGGAUUUUGCCAUUGGUGCUGAUGGGAGCCGGAGCGGGCCUUGAACACAGAGAGACAGGAUUCCCUGUACUUUCUAUUUAAUGCUCAAAACCAGAAGCAACAGGCUCAUUUAGUAUCAGUAAAGGUCGGUUAAAAUUAUAGAGACAUCCUUUGGAGCAAAUCCUCUGCCUUGUAUUUGCAUAUUUAUGAACUAGAGAUUACGACAGGCUAUUCCAUUUAUUAGAGCAGCGUCGCUAUAGUUAAUAGUCUGUCAGUAUUUCCAUUAUAAACCCCGUUUUUCAGUGUUUUAAUAUCUCAGCCAUUUAAAAUCACAUCAGGAAGCAAGUUGGUCUUGUGUUGUCGGCCAGGUGCAAUUUUUUGUUUUGGAUUAUUUUCAAUAAUGAAAUACUGAUCCUCAUAUAUGCAAAUGAGCCACAGCAUUUCUGUUGGAGGGAAAUAGCAAAGUGCAUAAGUUCAUUGUGGCUUUGUUUUUCUUUGGUCAAAUUCCUCUUUUCUCUUCUUUCCUAAUCAUGUCAACUGAGGCUUCACGUUUGAAGAACAGUUUCUCAAGCAACUGCUCUCAGAAGAAAUACUGGUUCUCAAUGUGAUAUCAGGUUGCUGCAUGCUUGCGAGUAGUGACCAAGGUAUACAGGCCAAGCAUAUUGACAUUAAUUAUAUGAAAUACUCAAGUUUUGGAAUAAUCUGUUGAAGAGCACAGACGUGUAUCAAAUCCUAUGCAAAUGAGUGUGUGCAACUAUUCUUCAGACAUUUCCAGAGCUACUGCGUCUGCACAAGUUCCAAAAAGCUCAUGGUACAGCGUCUGCUUUCACCUCUCAGAUUCAAGCCCAUUAAAGGAUUUGAGAAAAGCUAUCCAGUGCUGUGGACAAUGAAGAACAAAUGUGAUCCAUUUAGAUGAGUUGCAGAAUUGCCAACAACUGGCCUCCAGUCGGGCGAGUGUCUAUUCUGGUAACCCUACCAGCUACCAGCAGGUCUGGACAAGAUUGCUAAAUAAGGAGCAUCACACUGGUGUAAAACUCACGUGAAGGAGAUGAGAGUCAAGCCCAGUGGGAACAGAGGAGCUAUAAUGCAGGAGCCAGCCCUCCCUGUGCAACAUUUAAGUGAGGAAGAAGAGCUUUCAGAGCUAACUAAGAGUUAACUGGCUACAUUUCAACUGUCACCAUUGUCUUACAUCUACAUAGAGAGCGGGAGAGAGCCAGAGAGAUUGUCCCGCUCUCAGGUGGAUGAUUGCUCUUCAACAUUGGGCCAAGGUCAGACAGGUACUUAGCACUUCUGAAAUGCAAGCUCAAGGCAGGUUGUGUUGAACAUCUAAGCUUGGAGAAGUCUUUCUGGAAAGCUGAUGGAAAUUAGUGGUUCCCAGGAGAGGGAGUGGCGUGAACCCCUGGCAAGCUGACAGCAGGGAGGGGGAAUUACUGGGCAAGUGCUGGGUGUGCUCGCUCUCGCUGGCCAGAACACUGAGGAGCCACGGUGUACAGCUCCUCCAGCAAUCAGUGGAAACACUAAUUAACCUGAGGGCAGUCCCUGGCCCACUGAAGGCAUGGCAGGAUAUAUGGAAGGGGCAGGGGACAAGCUGGUCGAAGGCAGAUGAAGAUUUGGACUUGCAUUCCAGAAGAGAUGCCCACGAAGGGACACACUUCCCCCUAAGGAGCCAUCAGGUCACACAGACACUGGCUGCCUUCUAACAACGGAUGUUUUUCAGCCUGUAUCAGUCAUCCAUAUGACACUGCUCUUUUCAUACCAUCUUCUCAACACAGGGCUGAGGAGAACGGAGAUCAAGCACAUCCACGAAAAGGGUAGUUGGUUGGGAUCGCAUCCGUGACGCAACACACUCACCAACGAGCAGAUUUCAAGUCAACCACAGCAUGGCUACAAGCCUGGCAGGGGACUCAAGGCGGUGGCGGGCAGGUUCUGCCAGGCUUGGGGGCAGGAGUGCUGUGGCUUCCUGGGAAUGUCACAGGUGAAGAGUCGCCAGCCAACCCCAGUGCGCACAGGUGAGCCGAUUGGAUUGCUUUAAACUGUCUCAGCUGUUGUACAAGUGUGAAAAUAAGAGCCAUAUCAGAUAAACUGCUUUUUAUUAAAAAAAAAACCAAAAACACAACCAACAACUUAUAAGGUAAUUGAUUGCUUUCUUCUAGUCUUUUAUUAGUUGUGAUUAAGGAGAUAUAGUAGCCCUGUUUACACAGCUCUAACAAGUCAGGACCUGCAGCACGUUAUUGGCUUGCGGCCCACAACUUGCAGUCCAUUCUCAACAGAAUCAAUCUGAAGUUGAAAACAUCCCCUGUAGGAAGCGUACACAUCCCUGCUUAUCCAGGAACAGAAAACAGUAAUAACUUCAGGUCCUGUAAGUUGCAAGUUCAACUUACAGCGAUCAGCCCUGACUUGUCAUUGCUCUCAGCAUGUUCGUGAUGAGAUCAGAGUGCUUCACAGAGGACUCAUACUUUCAACUUGACAAGGGACAUAGGUGAGCAUGUUGCACUUCACUGUUACGUGCAGUUCAGGCUCUGCAGAAAUAAAUUGAGAGCUCCUCACUGUUUAACAUGCAGUCAAAGCACCGCCAAUCUAAAAUGGCUGAUCAGUAAUACUUUAAUUGCAGUUUCAUAGAAACAAAUUGCUAUUUAAUUGCAAUAAGCUCUUCUGUAGCUUAGCUGGACUGACAAUAGGCAUACACCUGGUACUAAAGGUAACAGGCAGCAACAAUGGCUAUCUGGUACUUCGUGUAUAGGAGGCUCAGGCAGUGAAAGCAGACCUGGAACACAGAAUUUCACACUGAAGAAAUGUAAUACUUAAAAAAAAUAUAUAUACAUAAAUGUUCUGAUCUCAAUUUUAGUCAUCAUUUUAAUAGAGCUGUUCAGAACGUAGAUCCUUGCAAAAAAGCCUCACACUUGACAUAUAACCACCAGCCAAAGAAUUUGAUAAAAAAUUUAAAUUAAAAUGGUCUUUUGAAAUGCCUGACAGUAUUUGAUAGCAAGUCAUACUAUGCUGGUAUGUGAUUUUUUUUUAUUUUUUUUUUUUUAGCAUUUACCCUAAAAUUAGAUGAUGCAAAUUUUAUCAGUGUUAACUAACAGAGAAAAAAAGGGAGACAAACUCAGUGUGGUUAAUAUUCUAAAGAUGUGACUUAAUUUCAUAGGCUUCAUUUUGGUAAGACAUUCUCAUUUUAUGUUUCAUAAGAUACUGCAUAACCUGUUAAAAUAUUUAAAGAUAAAUCAUGCAGGACUGAAAAGACAGUAUCUUGUUGCAAACAGAAUUUGGUUUGGAAAGGCUUAAUGUCCCACUGCCUGCCAGGAUGCGUAAAUCUCAUAACUAGACAGCUGGAUAGGUAAAAACAUUAAACCCAUUUAGAGGGCAAUCUUUUUACAAAAUUGUUUCAUUAAUAAGAGUGACAAUUUAUAUGAUUGAGACGUUUAGAUGCAGUAUAGACAGAGCUUUUUAUCCAGGUUCACGAGGAUGAUUUCAGAUUAGUAAUAUUUCCUUUGAUUUUUUUUUUUAACAGCAUUCAUUUUUGAAAGUGAGGGAAGCUCUUACUGAAUGAUUAUUUGUAUGACUUUUCAGCAGCACUAAACGUAGAGGGUGUAUUUCAGCCUCAGUGUAGCAAAUGCAUGUGAUAAAAGGUGAACAAGUACAUGCUUUUCCUCACACAUCUCCUAAAAAAAGGCUUUUUUUUUUUUCACAUAAGGACAAAUCUAAGUGUUUCCAGUAGCCUUCUAUCCACACCUACCAUCCCCAUUAAAGCCCAUUUUAUUGUCUGAAAUGCCUCUGGUUUCAAGAAAGUGUUUUACCUAAAGCAAGAAUACUACUUAAAUAUGUUCUAUUGUAUAUUCAUAGCUCCAUUAGUCCUCCUCCAAUUUAGCACAUCAAAGCAAAGGCUUCAUCACUUGCAUGUGGAUUAUGCUAACAUGAGUGACAUUUGUAAUCUUAUAGGUCUGCAACUUAAGAAAUGCUUUUAAAGUAAGCUGUUAAAUAGGUAGCUGUGCUUUACAAAUGAGUCAUAUAAUAGUUUAUUUAAAGCCGUUAAUGAACUUCAACCUCUACAUCACUAAAUGCUAGACUACAUUACUUCCUAGAAGUUAUUAGCUAUCUUCUUAGCACUUCUGGGUUAUAUUGGACAACCAAAAACCUGUACAUGUUAGAUUUAAACACUGUACCUUGAGUGCUUAUACUGAAAGACUAUAAAAAGAUGUCUACAGUCUAACUAAUACUUGAAUACUGUAUUCAUAUGACUUCAAGUGUCUUUUCAAAGAUUUUAAAGCAGCACAAUUUGCAGGACUCUAUCUAAAGACUUUACUGCCAGAUCAAAAAACCUUAGAAAAUUAUUUUUAAAAUGUGUAAGUGCAUUUAAUUAGAAAAGCCACACAUAGCUUCACUCAUUUUAUUGCUUUAUACGUUCUGCAAGUAUUCUUUUGUCUUUGCUGCCUGAUACUGUACAACAUUUUCUUUUCUCUGGAACAAUCCUAUUUUUCCUCAAGCACUGAAGUGUUAAAAGAAGAUAUUCAGCAGACCUCCAAUAUACAGGAGGUCAAGAAGUAGAAUCUGAAAAAAAAUAAUAUCUGCUGUUGGUUGUUUAGACAGACAAAUCUAUAAAUCAGCUUUUUGUGUAUUGGCAUCACAACAAAAAUAAGUCAAGCUCACUCCGUAACCAAGCACACUGAACAGUGAACACCUUCUCAAAAACAGAAUUAAAAAAGACAAACAUAAUCAUGAUGCAUUUCAAAUGUAUUAGUCUCCUAUAGAAGUAGAGUAGUUGUUAAUAUUGAUUUGUUACUAAUUGUGGCAGAGGCACAUUCUAGGUGCUUGCAGUUUCCUAACUGAAGGCAUACAAUGCACCUCCAUAGCUUCAUGUUAGCGUUCUUGCUACAAACAGAAAAAGUCAGAGGUUUUUUUCCCUCAAAAUUAUUCUGCACAGCUCUGCCACUGAGCAGCUGAUGGGAAAAACCCACUAAAUGAAGUUGCUCCCUCUCUUAGCUCAGAGGAGGCUUUGUUGCUUUGGGGAGGGGGGGGUGGUGUUUGUUUGCUUUCAGAGAACAGAUCAUACUUGAGAUCAGUUAGUUCUCGGAAACAACCCGAGAAACAUGUUUUUCUUUCCUUAAGAUUAUCAGUGUUGAAAAGUUGCUCUCUUAGCACAGCAAACACAACUUUAUGUUGUUCAAAUCAGAAUAGCUAUUGUAUUCCUUUUUAUGAAUACUUGAUUCUAGUGCUCAGCAUGAGGUACAGACCUUUUGUUGCUUUUUAUUUUAUCAUUCUUUGACCUCUUAUGGUAUAUACACACACUCUCAUGCUUGCACACCCAGACACAUGCACACCCUUAACACAGAUGAUUCUGUGAAAAGGAACUGGAUAGAAAGAGACCACAAUACCUAUAUGCAUACCAUAAUUCACUGCAAUAUGAAUGACAAUAUACUUGCUGUUAUUAGAAAUAAGAAUCUCAAUGAAAAAUAAAGAUAAUUUUGAAGUAGUGCUCCGUAUCCUUGCCAAAAGGAACACGGUUAAGUAGUUUAACAGAUUCUUUACUGGCAUAAGACAAAAAAAAAAGUCCAAACCAAAAAGCUACUUUUAAAGGUAACUGACAAUUAAGGUAAUGACUACCUAAGAUAUAGUUUCAGAAUAAUGUUUUGAAUGUUUAAAAAAAAAGGCUUCUAAAACUCAUACUCGAUUCAGUGUUGUUUGUUUUACUUUUUUAUUAUUUAAAUACACCAUACUAGAGCAAAUGUCUCUGAAAAUAUCACAAAUAAAAGAUUUUUCUUCAUUCAGCAAAUUAGAAGUAGGUGAAAAUUUCUACACAGUAGCUGCUAUGAGCCUGACUUUUUUUCUUUUUUUUUUUUUUUUUUUUGCCAUGGGAAGUAGCAACAUUAGGACAAAAACACUUACAUG